GCAGCCGUAGCCUACUGGUUAGCGCUUCGGACUUGUAACCGGAGGGUUGCUGGUUCAAACCCCGAAGAAGGCA
rnacentral:tRNA from 1 species